AUGUAGGUUGAGCAUCAAAUGACAAGUAUUGAUCGAUUUGAUGCUUAGCCUACAUGGUA
rnacentral:pre_miRNA from 1 species